GGCUGGACCUCUCGGGGUUACAGCCUUGCUGAAUUAUUCACCCUUGUCUUUUGCGUACUUCUUGUUUCCUUGGUGGGUUCGCCCACCACUAGGACAAACAUAAACCUUUUGUAAUUGCAAUCAGCGUCAGUAACAAAUUAAUAAUUACAACUUUCAACAACGGAUCUCUUGGUUCUGGCAUCGAUGAAGAACGCAGCGAAAUGCGAUAAGUAGUGUGAAUUGCAGAAUUCAGUGAAUCAUCGAAUCUUUGAACGCACAUUGCGCCCUUUGGUAUUCCAAAGGGCAUGCCUGUUCGAGCGUCAUUUGUACCCUCAAGCUUUGCUUGGUGUUGGGCGUCUUGUCUCUAGCUUUGCUGGAGACUCGCCUUAAAGUAAUUGGCAGCCGGCCUACUGGUUUCGGAGCGCAGCACAAGUCGCACUCUCUAUCAGCAAAGGUCUAGCAUCCAUUAAGCCUUUUUUUCAACUUUUGACCUCGGAUCAGGUAGGGAUACCCGCUGAACUUAAGCAUAUCAAUAAGCGGAGGAA
rnacentral:rRNA from 1 species